rnacentral:lncRNA from 1 species
UUCCAUCUUCCAGAGUGGAUAUUCACUUGUUUGCUCUCCCAGCCAGGAGUCUGGAAGAAGCCAGCAGGCAGUGUAGUCAUUUGGUAAUGUCCUUCUGGCUGCCAAGGUGGAUUAGUGCUGGGAGAUCUUACAACUGCCCUGUUCCUGUGUCUUCAAGAAGAAAAUCUAGCCAAGACUAAAGUUAAACUGAGGCUCCGCUUCAGUGACGGCCAAUACCUGCCAGCUCAUACGGGUUGUGUUACGGCUUAAGUCUGAAGCGUUUCCCACCAGUUCAUGUUUUGAUGCGUCUUCCUCAACUGCUCUGGGAGGCUGAGCAACUUGAGGAAAUGGACCCUAGCUGGAAGAAAUAACUCACUGUGUUAUGCCUACUUAGUGCCCGGAAUCCUCUCAGCAUCUAAACCAUGAUUUGAGGGACCUCUGCCACAUUCUCCAGCCACCGUGAACUGAAUGCAAAUAGCUCACCUCUACUUCAAUACUCCAUAGAUGCUCUACCCGACACCAUGUUGCUUCCUUG